ACGCGUUAAGCACUCCGCCUGGGGACUACGGUCGCAAGACUAAAACUCAAAGGAAUUGACGGGGACCCGCACAAGCGGUGGAGCAUGUGGUUUAAUUCGAUGCAACGCGAAAAACCUUACCACUUCUUGACAUGGAGGUUAGAUCUUUCUUAACAGAAAGGCGCAGUUCGGCUGGACCUCACACAGGUGCUGCAUGGCUGUCGUCAGCUCGUGUCGUGAGAUGUUGGGUUAAGUCCCGCAACGAGCGUAACCCUCAUCCUUAGUUACCAGCGGGUAAUGCCGGGCACUUUAAGGAAACUGCCGGUGAUAAACCGGAGGAAGGUGGGGAUGAUGUCAAGUCAGCACGGCCCUUAUGGGGUGGGCUACACAC
rnacentral:rRNA from 1 species